ACGUACGUACAAGCAUACUAAGAGAAGUAAGACCGUUUACAUUCGCGAGUUCGACAUUAAACCGAAAGUCGCGAUCGAUUGCAUAGAAACAGGGAGAAGAAAGAGGGAUUAAACGGAUCACGUCGAGGAAAAGAAAGCGAGAGGAAGAAAACGGCGAAGCAGAUGGUGAUGUUGGAGUGUAGACUCGUUACUCAGUAGUGUGCAUUUGUGCAGUAAGGUGGUCGCGAUUACCAUCUGACGGUCGCAGGCAGUCGCAGGGAUAGGCAGAGGCAAUCACAGUCGCAAGCAGGGCACUGACACUUCUUGUCGGCUCUCGACGGCUCGGGCUCUUGCCGGCUUGCCGGACGAUUUUGGGAACAAGAUCGCUUUUACCUUUAUUUCGUCUUUUUUUAUCUUCGUUUUAUUUUAUUUUUAUGAUUACGAAAGCUUUGUCUUGUGUAGCUUCGAUGUAAAUUGGAGCCAACAGCCAGGGACAGGACGCUAUCACCUUCACCUACUCGGUGCACAGGAACGGGAUGCAAACGCAAAAAACAAAAAGUGAGCGCGCCCACCAUACCAGUGGCACUACCAGUGGUACUUAUUAAUGCGAAGUGCAUGUGCAAGCCGCGAUCUUGUUUCGCGGCGCAUUCUUGAACCUUCUGGCGAUGCUGACGGGGUCACUGCGGCUAAUGCAGCUACAAAGAAUAGGACUGACAUGAUGGUGUACCCGGACCCCCAAUGGACUUGUUCGUCAACGGCUCCCAUGCUUCAACUUUACGAUGAUGUCAGCUAUCGAGUAAAUGUGGUCGAAGCUCUACAAGAGUUCUGGCAAAUGAAACAAGCCAGAGGAGCUGAUCUUCGGAAUGGUGCCCUUGUAAUAUAUGAAUCUGUUCCCUCAAAUGCACAACCCUACGUGUGUUACGUAACUCUACCAGGAGGUUCCUGCUUCGGAAGUUUUCAGAACUGUCCGACGAAAGCCGAGGCACGCCGAAGUGCAGCGAAAAUAGCUUUAAUGAAUUCCGUUUUUAAUGAACAUCCAUCUAGAAGGAUAUCAGAUGAUUUUAUUGAAAAAGCUGUUGCGGAAGCUCAGUCGUCAUUUAAAGGUGAAAGUGAAGAAGCCGAUAACCCAAACACAGGUAUCGGAGCCUUUAGGUUUAUGUUGGAAUCUAACAAAGGCCGAACGAUGCUAGAAUUUCAAGAAUUAAUGACAGUUUUUCAGUUAUUACAUUGGAAUGGGAGCUUAAAAGCCAUGCGGGAGAGGCAGUGUAGUAGACAAGAAGUUGUUGCCCAUUAUUCAAAUAGAGCAUUAGAUGAUGAUAUGAGAUCACAGAUGGCACUAGACUGGAUAGCUAGGGAACAAGAGAGUGCAGGAUCGAUUAGAAAGGAACUGAAUCAAGCAGAGAGAGAGCUUGAAUCUGCUAGAUUAGCUGGACGAGAACUUAGGUUUCCCAAAGAAAAGAAAGACAUUCUGAUCUUGGCGCAUAGUCAGUUGUAAAUACGUUCAUGUUGAAGAGGAACCACAUUCACCAUUAAAAAGGAAGAUAUCGUCUAAUUUUGUGGCUGGUGUUCCUUAAACAUCAAGAUUGAUCUCAAGAAAAGCCCCUGUGACUGUUCUGAAACGGCUCCCUUUGUUUUGAGACGCAUUAUCCCCAUACAGGUAUAGAGGUUGCCGAGAAAUAAUUUACUAAGUAAAAUUGAUUAUCCAUUUCAAAAAUAACAUAAUUAAUAUGAAUGUAAUGUAGGAUCAGUUUCAUUGGUGCUGACGUCACAAAUUAUAAACAUAUUUAAACCUAUAAAUGCAACUAUAUCUUGUUUAAGUUCUUAUUACUGAUCAUUACAAUCAUGUGAGACUAAUGCUGGUUUAAAAUUAACUUCUUACAUAAUUUUAUUAUGAUUUGUAGUAUUUAAUUUUAUUUAAAUUAAAUAUACUAUAUGACGUCAGUAUCAAUAAAAUAAUGUCACAUAAUAUACAGCGAGGAAUAAAAUUUUGGAAUAAAUUAAUGUCUUCAAGAAUAGGUGAAUUGAAAAACAAAUCCCGAAACAAGUCGAUUUUUUUAAAUCAUGAUUUUUUGGCAUAUAGGUCUGGAUCCCGCGUACCAAAAAAAGUAGAUUCAUAGCAAGCUGAAAAUUUGUUAAUAGCUUAACGGUGUCUAGUCGGACAAACCUUGAUGUACGGGAACACUGGAACAAGGCAAAUUUUAAUUGUGGAACAGGUUAAAAAUUUGGAACGUCAGGCUACGAAAAGUCCAAUAUAUUUUGUCGGACAGAACUUCCAAUUGAUUUGUUACCGUUUCAUUAAACUCUCAUGCAAAAAUCAGACUGCUAUUUAUCACCAACAUAAUUCCUGUCAUUUGACAUGUUCUACGUGUCGGACUUAUUAAAAUGCCCAGUUGAUGAUAAAUACCAGUCUGAUUUUUGCAUAAGAGUAUAAUGAAAGGGUAACAAAUCAAUUGGAAGUUCUGUCCGACAAAAUACAUGGGACGUUUUUGUAGUCUGACGUUCCCAAUUUUUAACCUGUUCCACAAUUAAAACUUCCCCUGUUCCAAUUUUCCCAUACAUAAAAGUUUGUCCGACUAGACACCGUUAAGCUAUUAACAAAUUUUCAGCUUGCUAUUAAUCAGAGUCCAAAUUAAAAGAUGUGAUACACCUACUAUAUGAGAAAAAUUUACCACUGGAUAUCAUAAAACUGAUAGAAAACAUAUAUGUAAGAAAUAAAAUAGAAAUGAAAGUCAAUGGAAUAAUAACAGAACCCAUAGAAACAAACACAGGAAUCAGGCAAGGAGAUUCACUAAGUCCUCUACUGUUUAACAUAAUAUUGGAUGCAAUAAUAAAACAAGUGAAGAAAAAAAGAGGGUACAAAAUGGGCAAUAGAGAGAUAAAAAUACUCUGUUACGCUGAUGACACUGUGUUAAUAGCAGAGUGCGAAGACGACCUACAAAGAUUAUUGCACGAGUUCAAAAUUAACGCAAAAGAAAUGAAUAUGAAAAUAUCAGCCCAAAAAACAAAAAGGUUAGUAAUUGCCAAAGAACCAAUAAGAUGCAAAUUGGAAUUAGACAAUCAAAUUAUACAACAAGUAAUGACUUUCAAAUAUCUGGGAAUUAUUCUAUCAGCCGACAACAAUAUCAAAGAAGAGGUAAAAGACCAAAUAAUUAAAGCCAGUAGAACGGCCGGAUGCCUAAACGACACAAUUUGGAAAAACAAACACCUAAGAUUGGAAACAAAGGCCCGAAUAUAUAAGUCAGUUAUUAGGCCAGUUAUGACUUACACGGUCGAAACAAGACCAGAUACAAGCAAAACACGAAGACAUCUGGAAACCAACGAAAUGAAGAUCUUAAGAAGGAUGGUGGAAAAGGACUACAGGAUAGGGUAAGAAGUGAGGAAAUCAGACGCAUGUGUGGGGUAGACAAUAUAAAUACCUGGGUAAAGAACAGAAAAGAAGAGUGGAAUGAGCACAUAAUGAGCACGUAAGAAUAGCCAGGGACAAGUCACCGUUAGGCAGGAGAAGUAUAGGACGCCCAAGGAAAAGAUGGAAUGACAACUUAGGGGCAGACAUAGGCGUAACCAGGGGGGGUUUUGGGGGUUAUAACCCCUCCCAUUGGGAUGUACUUUGAGCUCUAUAUGCUUAACACCAUACCCCUCGGAGACCUUCCAGUAGUUGUAACCCCCCCUUUCCAGUAGUUGUAACCCCUCCUUAGGAUUGUCCUGGUUACGCCUAUGGGGGCAGAAUGAAAGGCACCGUUGAAGAAAAACAGGCAGUACUGCCUAUAUAAAAGAAGAAGAAGAAGAAGAAAAAGAAGAAGAAGAAGAAGAGCUAUUAAUCAACUAUUUUUGAUACGCGAGAUCCAGGCCUAAUACUCAUAUCAACAAUAUGGACCCAAUAUAGAGGUCACAGAUGGAUAAAUAAACACUACUACUACCUCGGUACCAUAAUAAAAUUAAAAAAUUUUGGGUCAUCCUCUAUGCAGAAUUGUAAUAAUGUUUAUAUCACUGAAUAGAUAAUUAAGUAGCCUUUUAAAUGAGCUAGAUGCUCAGAUGCUCAGAUGGAAAACCUCACUAGUAUGAAAUAUAUGCCAAACAAAUGAUAAUUUAAAAAUAAAAAUCGACCUAUUUAGGGAUUUGUCUCCAAAGUUGACUAUUCUCCAUUUGCCAUUUAUUCCAAUUAAUCAAUUGGCUACAAUUAAAAAACCCAAAUUAAAAUACAGAGAUAAUAGAGUGAGAACUAAACCAUCAUGUAUAAAUACAAUAAUAGUCAAAAACAUCAAAAUGGUCCAACAAAAAGGUAGUCAAAAAAUGAAUGCAUCUAAACUUUGAUUCAAAAAUAGGAAAUCCAUUUGACUGUUAUAAAUUAAUGAAGAAAGAAGAGAAAUCAAAACUGUCAUAAAUUAAAUAAAAACAAUCAAUCAAUUAUUAACGUCCCCCAGUCUCCAAAUAAUCAUUUAUUACUCAAUACUGUUUUUUAAUAUGUACCUAUACAUUUAUAAUUAAAAAAUUGACAUGAACGGGUCUCUCCAAUUUUAGUCUAGGCGGUAUCUGCUCUAAAACACCCCCCAUUUGGUUAAAUCGUAUACUAUUUUUGCUUUAAUCGAUUCGAAGUAUUAUUGAAAAUAAUAAUUAAACCACGCGGACACGUCAAAAGGUGGUCUAAAAUUUUUAUUAAACAAUUUGUGAAAAAAAAAUUGGAAACAUUAAAUUUUUUUCUCUAAUUUUGGUUACUAUAUCUCGGCAUCUAUGUAUUUUAGAAAAAUGUUGUGAAUAUAAUAGAGGUUUUGCAAUUUAAUUUUCCUAUCCUAAUUCCGACAGAAUUGAUUGCAAAUUGAAAAAAUAAUUAUUAUUAUUGCAAAAUUAGUAAAAAUGUCUUCAAUAAUUUAUUUUUUAUUCAAUACGAAACGUUAAGAAUGGAAGAAAGAAAAAAAUUCAAACUAAAAGAACUUUCAAAAUUUACACCGAAACUCUUUUUAACAUAAAAAACACAUUUCACACUAAAUCUCAACACAAUUAAUUUUCAAAAUUAUGCAGAGCCAACAAAAAAGUUUAGCAGUUUUUAAAUACUUGAAAUAAACAAAUAGAAUAACUUUUUUUCAAUUGUCAAUUAACAUUUAUUUUCCUUAUAUCGAAGGUUCAGCGCAAGAUGCGUAAUCAAAAAAACUUUAAGGUUGGUCAAGUAGUUUCAAAAUUAUGAUCGAUCAAAGUUGACCGGCAUUUACAACAGUAGUACAAAGGCCGCAUAUGAAAUGCCUCCCGAAAAAGGGUUUCUUACCUGUCGCUACAAUGGUCACAUACGAAUUGCCUCCCAAGCUUUAAAUAAAUUACAUGCUUCUAAUCUUUAUGUGAAGGUGAGACGUUGCCACAUCUUCGUCCCUUUGUAAGUUUUUGGCAAAAUUGGUAUUUUGUUAUUUAAUUUAUUUUAGUUUCAACCUUUAUGUAUUAAACAUUAUUCACACUAGACGGUAUUUAUAAAUUUCAACUAACUUAUACAUAUGCAAUUAGUUUUAUAACCAUUAUAAUAUAUUUUAUAAUAACCAUUAUUUUUGGUUAGUAAUAAUUUAACAAAAAAUACAAAAACAUAAUAAGUAUUUUAUAGAUUUAUUAAAAAUAACAUCACAAAAAACUUAUUUGGAAAAUAUUACAAAAUGUGUAUAAAAAUAUAAAAUUACAAAAUAGUUUUCCUAAAUUUAUAUGAUACUACUUUGACAAAUUAUAAUCUAAUUUAUUUUACAUUCUCUUAAUUCUAAAAUUUUUUCAUUUAGAAAAUUUAUUUUUGCUGUACUUUCCGCAACAAUUUAAUGUAGGUAUUUAUUUGAAAUUGUAAAAUUAUAUCAAUAAAAUUAUUAAUGUUAGAAUGAGGGCAGUAGAAAGAAGAAUCAUACUUUGAAUGAAAACUUUCGCAUGGGUUUGUGGUUCUUUGUAAGGAUGAAGAGUGUUCAGCCCAAACUUCAUCCCUUUUUCACAUCCCUGUGUUUUCACAAAUGCUUUGCAGGUUUUUUUAGUACAUGUCCACCGUUUUACUGUAUCUUUGGCCAACAUUUUUUGAAAACCGAAUGUAAAACCAUCAAUUGAUAGUAAAGGUUUGCCCUUUUGACCAGGCGCGGAUCCAAGGGAGGGUCAAUGGGGUCAAUUGCCCCCUCCUUGAGACUUCGCCUGGUGUCGCCUUUUUUUAAGAAAGAGAUAAUUACGAUUGAAAAUAAAUAGUGAGUUUUAAGUCCUGUUGACAAACUGAAUAACGGAAUGAAACAUAAAACAGAAUUCCUUCUCCAAAGUACGUGUUCUCGGUCUUACUGUAUGGUGCCGAGUCUUGGACUGUGAAUAAAAUCGAUCUACUUGAUAAAUCGCCUCGAGGCUUUCGAAAUAUGGUUCUAUAAAAGAACUUUAAAAGUAUCUUGGGUGAAGAAGAUUCGAAACUCCACAAUACUAGAACGUCUCAGCAAGACUACUGAGAUUAUAGAAGACAUCAAGAAGAGAAAAGUGGAGUAUUUUGGACAUGUAAUGAGAAGUUUCCAAUAUAGGCUGCUACAAAAUGUUAUGCAAGUGAAAAUAGAAGGCAAACGCAGUCCAGGACGAAAAAGCACUUUCUUGGUUGAUUUAGGGUGGCAGUGAAUAAAAUUUAGAUAGCUAUGAUAGUAACCAACGUUCUAGAAGGACAUGGUAUAUGAAGAAAAAUAAAGUAACAGCCCAUACCGAAAAAGAAUCCUGAGUACGCGAGUGACGAGAAAAUUUUUAUUUCAUUGCCCCUUGCAAGGUCGCUGGAUCCGCCGUUGCUUUUGACUGACUCUUAUCGUUGAUUCCAUUAUUUCGGAUGUUAUGACAAACACAAUUUGAUCUUGAAAUCGACGAACUGACAAGCUUGAAAUAGACAAACUGACUGAUGCAGGAACUAAUAAACUUUCAAGAAUUUAUACAACAUAGCCCAUUAGCACAAUUUACAAAAGAGAAUAUAAACAAACAAAAAGAUUAAGGUAAAAGUACCUAUUUAUGGAAUUAUAAAAUGGACUUAUAAAAUGGACUAUAAAAAAUUUGGAAGAGAUUAUAAUCGGAAUUGGAAUUUCCCAGAAAAGCUGGUUAUUAGAUCGUUGGGUGUGGUUUGUUCAACAGUAAAUGGUUGAGUUCAAUUAGUGCGGUCGUAAAUAUUAUUAAAUUUAUCUGACCUGUCCCAUGGUUAAGACCCAUCCGGAGCGAUAAGCCACCGAGGUAGACAGAGUUGGUCUUUUGCAAUUAACACUUACUAGACGGUACUCCCAUAAGAAAGCCUGAAAUAAAUUUUACCUGAAACCGGGCCUUUUAUACUAUUAUCGGUUAAUCCAGGAUGUUUAUAGUGGUAACUAAUUGAACUAAACCAUUUACUGUUAAACAUACCAUAAAAACUUUCUUUUCUAAAAAGAAAUAUGUCGUACUGUGAAAUAUUUACGUGAAACAAAUUUUAUGUACACUGCAUUAAGAAUUAGAAAAAUCAAAAUAGAUAGAUACUACCUAUUUAAAUUAUGAUUUGGCAACGUUGUGUCAUUAUACAGAGAUUAAGUAGACAAAAUAUCAGCGUAAAUGAUUAAAGAAACGGAGGAAUUUCGAUUGUACCUGGGAGGCAUUUCAUGUAUGAAAAUAUUUACCUGAAAAAGUGGGAGGCAUUUCGAUAACGCCGAGUACAAAAGUUUGAAGUCUGCUUUUUUUAUCAAAUACUUUUGUUGUGCCAAGUACUUUGUAGAUAUAAAUUUUCACCUUUUUUCUUUUGUGCAACCUGGUUAAAACGUUGACUCAAAUCUUUAGAAAUACAGAAAAAUAGUAAAGAGUUUCGAGGGUUUUCGGCACUAAAUUGAUAAAAACAGAUUACUCGGGGGGCGGGGAUAUUGGGGUUGCUGAAUAAUAAUACGCUAUCAGAACCGACGCCCCGUGCACUAGGUGCCCAAAAACCUUCCAAAUUCCAGAAGAUGACAUGCCUUAACAGUGAUGUUGUCACCAGAUGGUCCGGGGUCAGUUCUGAUGGCGUAUUCGUAUUCAGCUACCCCAAAAACCGCCUAUACUAAAUUUACAAUCAAGAUGCAGUAGAAAUAAACAAACCAAGAUACGUUAAAUGCUACUAAGAGCAGUCCCAAAUCAUAAUUUACAAUGUAUAUACAUUGUAAAUCCCAAAACAUGAUUUCCAAAGUUUAUACAUUGUAAAUUAUGAUUCGGGAGUGCUCCUAGUAGCAUUUAACGUGUCUUGUUUUGUUUAUUUUUACUGCAUCUUGAUUAUAAAUUUAGUAUAGUUAUCUAUUUACUUGCAUUCAGUUCCGAAAACCUUCGAAACUCCAGAAGUGACGUCCUCAGCAGUGAUCGUGGGCACCAGGUGCUCCGGGAGUCGGUUCUGAUGUCGUAUUCGUGUUCAGCAACCCCAAAAAUCCCCACUAUAAUCUGUUUGCAUCAAUUUAAUGCCGAAAACCCUCGAGACUCUAGAAUAUGAGGUGCCUUAGCAGUGACACUGGGUACCAGGUGUUCCGGGGGUAGAUUCUGAUGGCGUAUUCGUGUUCAGCGACUCCAAAAAUCUCCAAAUAAUCUAAUUGCAUUAAUUUAGUGCCGAUAACCCUCAAAUUUCCAAACGACGUGCCUUAGCAGUGACCCUGGACACCAGGUGCCCCGUUGGUCGGUUCUGAUGGCGUAGUCGUGUUCUUUCUCUUCAAUCCUGAGCCCCCGGAGGGAGUGUAGUAGUCGAGGUGAUGUUGUGUAUUGUCCGUCUCCAAAGAUCUCUCUCUGGUUAUUUCUUUUAACUCAUGCAUAGGUCUUUUGCAUAUUUCUCUUCCUUGCAUAUUCCCUUGCCAGAUCUUCCUCGUGAUCUUCGGCCUUCCACCUUCCCUUAUAUAAUAAGUAUUUUCAUGUUUUCUGUGUUUGCUCUCAUAACAUGUCCAAAGUAUUUUUAAUUGUUGGAGAUGGACUUUACUGGAGAGUCGUUGACUAACUUUUAGCUCUCUUAAAAUUGAAUUAUUUGUCCUAUGAUCGGUCCAAGGAAUUCGUAGCAUUCGUCUUCAACAGAACAUUUCAGUGGCGUCUAUCUUUCUUCUUUCUUAUUUUCUCAUGGUCUAAGAUUUUCAUCCGUAGGUCAGUAUUGGGAAUAUUAAGCAAUUGAUUAACCUCAUGUUUAACUACCUUGAAAUUUGAGUCCUUCCAUAUUGUGUUCAUUUUUGCUGUGGCAACUUUUGCUAGAUCACAUCUACGUUUUAUUUCUUCCUGUAGUGACCCUGUGUUUGUGAUUAAUGAUCCCAGAUAUAAGUAUGAGCUCACAGCCUCAAACCGGUCAAUUGUGGUUAUGUGUGGAUGAUUGUUAUGUAGUCUAUCCACUAUCAUGAUCUUUGUCUUUGACAUGUUUAAUUGUAGACCAAAUAUUUGACUUUCGUUUUCAACCAGUCGUAUAAGUCAAUCAGCUCUGCUUGGCUAUUUGCAAGAAGGGAUGUGUCGUCUGCGAAACGUAGGUUGUUUAUUUAUAUGACCAUUUAUUGAGAUACCUUUUUCCCAUCCUUCAAGUUCUCUUCCCAUAGUAUGCUCCCCAUAUAUAUUGAAUAAUUGUGGAGAUAGUAUACAUCCCUGUCUGACACCCUCAAGUCGUGUUCAGCGACACCAAAAACCCCGUAUUUUAACAUUGUUAUGUAUUUUUAAAUUUAUUUCAUGCACUUUAAAAUGCAAUUAUGCAUUUUCACACAUUUUUCCAUAGUAAAUUUUUUUCCUGACAUCAUCCUGGACACAAUGCAAAAAGUUUCAAGUCUCUAGGUGCUGUAUUUAAAAAUCGAUUUAUUUUGUGCUAAAUGCCUGGGUCUAUGACCUUUUGAAGUAUCCGCAUAGUGAACUCGUCAUUUCCAAUAAUCCAUAAAGAUAAAUUUCCUCUAACUGGCUGUAUACCAUUAAUUACAAAAAUUUAAGAAAAUCUUCCGUGUAAAAGGUAUAUUUAUUUUAAUGUAGCCCUUUAUUGGGGUUUUAUAUAAAUAUACCUUUUACACAGACGAUUUUCUUCAAUUUCCAAUAAUAUUUUGAAGCGAUUGAAGCCAAAAAAAUAGCAUAUACGGUUUGGAAAUCCCUUAACAGAUACCGCCAGCUCUAUAAUAUAUACUAAUUUAAUUUUGUAAAUACUUGUAGAUUCAAAACAGCAAAUUAAAUUAUAAAUUAAUUCGAUGUAAUGUAACCAACACUUUUUCUGGUAGACCACAUCUGUAUAAUAUGUUACUUUUAUUAGUGAAAUAAGUGUUUUCGCAUUUUAGCCUGUGAUAAAUGUAUUAGAUAGGUGUAAUAGCAUUAAAAAUGUGGAAUAAGGGUUGUUACUCAAAUAAUUUUUAACUGCUUUAAAAAACAAAAAUGUAAUGAUUAUGUUUUGUUAUCUAUGUAAUGUAAGCUAAUGCUAUUUUUAUUAUAGUUUUUAAUAUCGACUGAUUACAUAUCGCUAUUUGCUGGUAUAAUGCUAAAUAAAAAUGUUUAAACAUUUAAUCAAAUAAAUUUUAUAAAUAAAUA
rnacentral:misc_RNA from 1 species